CACGUAGGGGCCGAGCGUUGUCCGGAAUUACUGGGCGUAAAGGGCGCGCAGGCGGCCCGCCACAUCACCGGUGAAAGCCCCGGGCUUAACCCGGGAGGGUCCGGUGCGAUGGGCGGGCUGGAGGCAGGGCGAGGGCGGUGGAAUUCCGGGUGUAGUGGUGAAAUGCGUAGAGAUCCGGAGGAACACCAGUGGCGAAGGCGGCCGCCUGGACCUGACCUGACGCUGAGGCGCGAAGGCGUGGGGAGCGAACGGG
rnacentral:rRNA from 1 species